AUUUAAUCAGGUGUGUUCUUAAAUAUUGCCUAAUAGUGUUUCCUCUUAUAUUAAGAUGAGAAUGUUUUCUAAGAAUUACAAUUUCCCAACAGUUACGCAAAUGAGGUUAAAUCAUCACUUGCAACUGUGUAUAAAAAGCUCCGCUGUCAGUACAACAUUACCACAAUCAUCCACAUCUCUGAGACAGUCUGCUGAAGUUGUGAAGACCUGACGGUGAAAUCACUGAAACCAUGAUCAAGGUUGUGUUUCUGCUUGGAUGCCUGCUGAGCCUUGCUCUGGCAAAUCCUAAUGACUCAGCACAUGAGCGUGAUGCACGUUCUUCAUCUAGGGAGGGG